rnacentral:rRNA from 1 species
GAACGCAUACUUUAGAGUAUGAGUGGCAGACGGGUGAGUAACGCGUGAGACAUCUACCUUACAGCCCGGUAUAAAUAUCUAUAUAGAGGCGAAAAUCUUUAUAUAUGAGUGAAUCCCGGAUAUUUUGAAUAAAAAAAAAGGCAAAGAACCGUUGUAAGAUGAGCUCGCGUAGGAUUAGGUAGUUGGUAAGGUAAAAGCUUAUCCAAGCCGAUGACCCUUAGCUGUUCUGAGAGGAUGAUCAGCCACACUGGGACUGAGACACGGCCCAGACGCUUUCGAGCGGCAGCAGUGAGGAAUUUUGGACAAUGGGCGAAAGCCUGAUCCAGCUAUAUCGCAUGAAUGAAGAAGGCUCAAUUGGUUGUAAAAUUCAUAGUUUCAUUGUAGAUUAUGACAUUGAUGAAAUGAAUAGUCCCGGCCAACUCCGUGC